GCGACAAUCAUGUUGCUCUGUGUGGUCUUGCUGCGUCAUUAAACAUAUUCAUGUAAACACGGGGAAUUAAACGGGAAGAUUGCAGUGCCCUGAGCAGCGGGGCUAAUGGGGUUGUUUUCAUGAAGUGCGGAGGGCGGACUGUGGAGGAGGAGGAGCCGCGACGUCGGCCAGAGACGCCACCGGACUGCUCCAGAGGCUGGUCGCACCGAGGGGGGCGGGGCCAGCGAGGAGAAUCAAAACAAGUCUGACGUCACUCGGCCUUGUGGUUGGUAUGAAUAAUAUACAGCAGCUUGUCUCUACCAAGUCCUAGCAGGAAAGCGGUUUGGAAAAAAAAAAAAAAAAAACAA